rnacentral:rRNA from 1 species
GCGCACCAGUCGAGAAUCCUUCGCAAUGCGGGAAACCGCGACGAGGGGACUCCCAGUGCCUACGCUCAGCGUAGGCUGUUCCCGAGCCUAGAAAGCUCGGGGAGUAAGGGCUGGGUAAGACGGGUGCCAGCCGCCGCGGUAAUACCCGCAGCCCGAGUGGUGGCCACUAUUAUUGGGCCUAAAGCGUCCGUAGCCGGCCCGGUAAAUGCCUGGGUAAAUCGUGAGGCCUAACCUCACGAAUUCCGGGUAGACUGCCGGGCUAGGGACCGGAGGAGGGAGAGGGUACUCCAGGGGUAGGGGUGAGAUCCUGUAAUCCCUGGAGGACCACCGGUGGCGAAGGCGCUCUCCUAGGACGGGUCCGACGGUGGGGGACGAAAGCCAGGGGAGCGAACCGGAUUA